rnacentral:tRNA from 1 species
GGACCAUGGCUCAGUGGUAGAGUAUCUUCUUGGUACAGAAGAUCUUAGGUUCAGUCCCCAACAUCUCUA